UACGUAGGGUGCGAGCGUUGUCCGGAAUUAUUGGGCGUAAAGAGCUUGUAGGCGGUUUGUCGCGUCUGCUGUGAAAAUCCGAGGCUCGACCUCGGACUUGCAGUGGGUACGGGCAGACUAGAGCGUGGUAGGGGAGACUGGAAUUCCUGGUGUAGCGGUGAAAUGCGCAGAUAUCAGGAGGAACACCGAUGGCGAAGGCAGGUCUCUGGGCCACUACUGACGCUGAGAAGCGAAAGCAUGGGUAGCGAACAGGAUUAGA
rnacentral:rRNA from 1 species